UUUUGCAGUUGUGGAGGGCAUUUGGCAGUCUGGGGAGCAUUACUGGGCACAAGAACACAAGGAGACCCCACAGAGCAAGGGCUCUGGUGACUGGCUGCAUAGCAGUUUUUAUAGACUCUUUCAACAGCACGCUUUUCUGCAUCGCUGAUAGCCGGAUUGCUUGCUAGGUUCUCUGAGCUUGAAUUCUGCCGCUGCUUGCAAUGACUUGGAUUUGGUCAUUAAAUCACAGACCUUUCUCUGGAAAAGCUGACAGUGCACAAAGUCCUUCCUCCAGCACUGCCUGCCUAACGACGUGGAGAAGAGCAAAGACGGAAUUGAGUGGCUUUGAUUUAAACGUGGGUCCUGGUCAUUUAAUAUACAAAAGACCUGACGUGUGGUCAUAUUCAUUAGGACUGCGAUGAUGAUGUAUGGCAGUGCAGGAAUAAUUCGCAUAUCCAUUGACGUCUCCUUGGAGUCAUGGCUAACAGAGGAAGCAGACCACCAGAAUACCUUAAGAAGCAUAUUUGGGGAAGCGGGGAGGAUGAAUUGAGACUCAUUCAUUCAUUCAUUUGAACUUCUUUUUUUAAAAAAAGGUGUUCAAGUUGCUGAUAGAAUCUACUUAAUUUUAUAACCAAGUUACUGAACAAAAUCAUUUUUUUUUUCAGGA